AGAUAUUUCAGUGGCUUUGCUAAAAUAUUUCAUCCUCUCUCUAAAGAAGUCCCUAAAGACCUAAACCCACUAAGACUGGUCAAAUUGCAAUCUCUGUAGACGCAAUCGUUUGAGACGCAUGUUGGGUUUCCUGAUUCCAAGCUUCUGCAUCGAUUGCUUCUCAUUAUCUAGUCAUCUUUAAGGGAUAAUGCGUCACUCACUUCUCAUUAUCUGUGGAGGAUCAAGGAUUUGCAAGGUAAAUCUGGUGGUGCUCCAAACUCCAUGAGGUUCUGUCUCAUGACUUUGCAGUUUUUUCUUUGUUAAGCUUUAAGAGCUUUAUGGCGAAUAAAUGAUCAUGCAAUGACCCUCAAACAUAGUCUAUAAUAACCCCUGUGCAAGAUGAUGGUCAAAGUUUAUUAAGAGCAUAAAUCUACAAUAUAUCUUCACCAGUUAUAAGGUGGUUCAUUUUACCAAAACACAUAUUUGGGAGGGAUGUAAAUCAGAAGGGCAACGAUUAACCGCUUACACCAGAGAAUGAAGUGUUCCUUCAGAGCUAAUACAAAAUAUGUCCAGCUUUUUCCUUACUGCCACAAAACUGUAUAAUUCCUUUACAGUUGUAUGCUGAUCUAAUUUUUUUCCUUCAAACUCAUUAUUUCAAGUGAUAUAUUAGUCUUACUCACUUUGAUAUGUAUUAUUAGACAUGCUGGUAGAUAUUUAGAUGGUUGUAUAUGUAGAAUUUUAAAUUUCUAUGAAUAUGUUGGCGGUAAGGUA